rnacentral:rRNA from 1 species
UUGUCUCAAAGAUUAAGCCAUGCAUGUCUCAGUACAAGCCGCAAAACAAGGUGAAACCGCGAAAGGCUCAUUAAAUCAGUUAUGGUUCCUUAGAUCGUACCCACACUUACUUGGAUAACUGUGGUAAUUCUAGAGCUAAUACAUGCAAACAGAGCUCCGACCGGAGACGGAAGGAGUGCUUUUAUUAGAUCAAAACCAAUCGGCGGCGGCGCGGACGCGUCCGCGACCGGUCCGUUCGCCGCCUGAGCUGGUGACUCUGAAUAACUUUCGGCUGAUCGCACGGUCUCGCACCGGCGACGCAUCUUUCAAAUGUCUGCCUUAUCAACUGUCGAUGGUAGGUUCUGCGCCUACCAUGGUCGUAACGGGUAACGGGGAAUCAGGGUUCGAUUCCGGAGAGGGAGCCUGAGAAACGGCUACCACAUCCAAGGAAGGCAGCAGGCGCGCAAAUUACCCACUCCCGGCACGGGGAGGUAGUGACGAAAAAUAACGAUACGGGACUCAUCCGAGGCCCCGUAAUCGGAAUGAGUACACUUUAAAUCCUUUAACUAGGACCCAUUGGAGGGCAAGUCUGGUGCCAGCAGCCGCGGUAAUUCCAGCUCCAAUAGCGUAUAUUAAAGUUGUUGCGGUUAA